GAUGAACGCUGGCGGCGUGCCUAAUACAUGCAAGUCGAGCGAACAGACGAGGAGCUUGCUCCUCUGAUGUUAGCGGCGGACGGGUGAGUAACACGUGGAUAACCUACCUAUAAGACUGGGAUAACUUCGGGAAACCGGAGCUAAUACCGGAUAACAUGUUGAACCGCAUGGUUCAACAGUGAAAGACGGUCUUGCUGUCACUUAUAGAUGGAUCCGCGCCGCAUUAGCUAGUUGGUAAGGUAACGGCUUACCAAGGCAACGAUGCGUAGCCGACCGGAGAGGGGGAUCGCCCACCCUGGAACUGAGCCACGGUCAAGACUCCUACGGGAGGCAGCAGUAGGGAAUCUUCCGCAGUGGGCGAAAGCCUGACGGAGCAACGCCGCGUGAGUGAAAAAGGUCUUCGGAUCGUAAAACUCUGUUAUUAGGGAAGAACAAAUGUGUAAGUAACUGUGCACGUCUUGACGGUACCUAAUCAGAAAGCCACGGCUAACUACGUG
rnacentral:rRNA from 1 species